CUGUAACUUUGCAAAUGCUGCCUCAAUGUGGUGUUUUGGGGGCCCUACAGGCUGAAGUUCUCCAGAAUUUUUUUCGUGACCUACAUAAUUGACCUAUAUUAUGUGUCUAUGUCUUAAACAGGUUACACCAACCAGAAAUAUGAAUGGAAAUGGCCUAGUUAUUUAUUUAUACUGAGCUCGUCAGUCCAGAAGGAAUUGCUUGAAAUCUAUGCUGAUGGUGGAAUCUGGUGAAUGACUGAGGUUUUGGGGGAAAAAAAAGCUUCUGAAUUUAAUGGAAUUGCCCCUGCUCCCAGCAUGGAUAUGUGUGGCUUUUUACAACAACAUGCAGAGCCUGGCAAAAUGGCCUUGAGGAGCAGAUUUGGAGUAGGGCUGAAGACCAGAUGUCUGCUGCUACAACCCAACCAGUUCCACCAACACUGCUGUUGGACAGUUCCU